rnacentral:lncRNA from 1 species
CUAACAACGAUACCUUCAGAUCCACUCAUUUUACAAAGAAUAUGAAGUAGGAAGUCACUCAUUUAGCACCUUGACGAGAUCAGAAGGAAACGUAGAAAAAAUAAUUCAUUACUGCUUAAUGAAUGAAUGAGAACAAAUAACAUCUGUCCAUGCCUGAAGAGAGUGUUUGCAGGGUUAACUAUGGCUGAUUCAGUAUGUGGCAGUAGCAAUAAAACAUGAAAUAGUGGUUUAAGAAAUAUCCCUGAGAAAAUUAUUCCAUAUCCAGAACUGAUCCCAUGACAUAUGUUUCUGGCACUGUCACAGGACUUACGGAAACUAACUACAGUCAGGGAAGCAAGCCCAGCUGUAAAUGAUUAAAUUGCAUAGUAAGGUCUCCUUGAUUGCAGUACUUGGUACCCUUGUAAUCGGGAUGCUAGACAAUUUAAAACUGGGCAUGGGUCCACAGGUGCAGAGAAGUCUCUGUGAAAAACGUGCCAAUAUUCUAGGCUAUCAUGCACUCGUUGCCAAUGGAUACUGAAAAUGUACAUUACUCUGGGAUAUAUUAUUUGGACUUAGCAUAAAUUUUGCACUGUCUGUUUGUCAUUCUUCCUCAUGCCUGCUGUCGGAAAUGCGUCAGGAGACAAAAGCAAGCUUAAUUGACAGCUCUGGGGAGGCUGAAGGUAGGCUGUGACCUGAAAUGAGGACUGUUCUCAUAAUGAGAGACAGCUGAAAGAUUAUGUAUAAAGAGCCACUAAAAUAGAUUCCCUGGCUCUUAUUCAUAAACCAGCAGAUGGUAGCAGAGUCUACAGAUCUCAGAGAAGGCAAAUGUAUAUUAAAUACUGUAACUGCCCUCAUUCAUUUGCCAUUCAUCUUUACUUGUCAGCCUCUUCGUAAGUUCCUUCUCUAGUGCUGACCCUGAAAUUGCAUCAUUUAAUCUGGAACCAUAUAUUGCCAACAUUUCCCCUUUCUAUCGCAUAUCAACUGCAUUGAUUCUGCUGCACUGUGGACCACUGAUAGCUGUAGGUACGUCUCUGUAGAAAAGAGAGAUUCAUAAAAUGGAAUAGAGGCAAGAGGAAUGGCUGACUUGCUGGUUUGAAGGAGGUGGGGAGAAGAGGAAGCGAGAGGAAAGAGGCAUUUGUCAGUCUUUUCACCCUUCUUUAAUGUGUACCUCGAAUUAUAAAUGGCCUAUUACUUAUACUUAGGAGUUGCCAGAGUGCUGAGCCUCUAGCAUAAGAAAGCACAGAGAAGACACAGGUCCUCCUUACGGAGUCUAGUAUUUCAACAGAGGUGCUCUGUAUAGAAAUGAGCCAGAAGAAUAUGUUUUCUGAGUUGAGACCAGCCAGUAUAAUGAAUGUGUGAGAGCAUUUCUAAUUAAAUGGGUUUCAUGGUGUGUUUUUGAGAUGGGAUUUGAAAGGGGAGGUGGAAGGC